GACGAACGCUGGCGGCGUGCUUAACACAUGCAAGUCGAACGGAAAGGCCCUGCUUUGGUGGGGUGCUCGAGUGGCGAACGGGUGAGUAACACGUGAGUAACCUGCCCUUGACUUUGGGAUAACUUCAGGAAACUGGGGCUAAUACCGGAUAGGAGCUCCUGCUGCAUGGUGGGGGCUGGAAAGGUUCGGCGGUUGGGGAUGGACUCGCGGCUUAUCAGCUUGUUGGUGGGGUAGUGGCUUACCAAGGCUUUGACGGGUAGCCGUCCUGAGAGGGUGACCGGCCCCAUUGGGACUGAGAUACGGCCCAGACUCCUACGGGAGGCAGCAGUGGGGAAUAUUGCACAAUGGGCGGAAGCCUGAUGCAGCAACGCCGCGUGCGGGAUGACGGCCUUCGGGUUGUAAACCGCUUUCGCCUGUGACGAAGCGUGAGUGACGGUAAUGGGUAAAGAAGCACCGGCUAACUACGUG
rnacentral:rRNA from 1 species